UGGGGAAUUUUGGACAAUGGGCGCAAGCCUGAUCCAGCCAUGCCGCGUGCGGGAAGAAGGCCUUCGGGUUGUAAACCGCUUUUGUCAGGGAAGAAAUCUUCUGAGUUAAUACCUCGGGAGGAUGACGGUACCUGAAGAAUAAGCACCGGCUAACUACGUGCCAGCAGCCGCGGUAAUACGUAGGGUGCAAGCGUUAAUCGGAAUUACUGGGCGUAAAGCGUGCGCAGGCGGUUUUGUAAGACAGAGGUGAAAUCCCCGGGCUCAACCUGGGAACUGCCUUUGUGACUGCAAGGCUUGAGUGCGGCAGAGGGGGGAUGGAAUUCCGCGUGUAGCAGUGAAAUGCGUAGAUAUGCGGAGGAACACCGAUGGCGAAGGCAAUCCCCUGGGCCUGCACUGACGCUCAUGCACGAAAGCGUGGGGAGCAAACAGGAUUAGAUACCCUGGUAGUCCACGCCCUAAACGAUGUCAACUGGUUGUUGGGAAGGUUCCUUCUCAGUAACGUAGCUAACGCGUGAAGUUGACCGCCUGGGGAGUACGGCCGCAAGGUUGAAACUCAAAUGAAUUGACGGGGUCAUAGCUG
rnacentral:rRNA from 1 species